CCUACGGGUGGCAGCAGUGAGGAAUAUUGGGCAAUGGGCGGAAGCCUGAACCAGCCAAGUCGCGUGAGGGACGAAGGCCCUACGGGUGGUAAACCUCUUUUGCCGGGGAGCAGGGCCCAGCGCGCGAGCGGGGAGGGAGCGGACCCGGAGAAAAAGCAUCGGCGAACUCCGUGCCAGCAGCCGCGGUAAGACGGAGGAUGCGAGCGUUAUCCGGAUUGAUUGGGUUAAAAGGGGGCGUAGGCGGUCCGUUAAGUCAGCGGUAAAAUUGCGGGGCUCAACCCCGUCGAGCCGCUGAAACGGGCAGACUUGAGUUGGCGAGAGGUACGCGGAAUGCGCGGUGUAGCGGUGACAUGCAUAGAUAUCGCGCAGAACUCCGAUUGCGAAGGCAGCGUACCGGCGCCAGACUGACGCUGAGGCACGAAAGCGUGGGGAUCGAACAGGAUUAGAUACCCCAGUAGUC
rnacentral:rRNA from 1 species